GGGGGCGUACUUGGCUUUCGACGGGGGUCGCUGCCCAGAUGAUAAGCAGGCCGCAGUGCCGAAAUCUGCGCUAAAAAAGUCGGACGUUUAAAUAUAAACGCUGAUAAUCAAGAAUUAGAAUUAGUAGCUGCGUAACGCAAGCUGCCGUCACAGUAGAAAGUCCCGCGGUUCUACAGGUGGCGUCAAUUGAGCGGGUACUGCUUAAUCCAAAGCUUUGAGGGUUAAUGCAUAUUGAUGAAGCUACCACAAACCAGCUUUGCUGUAAGGGGCUGGUUUUGGGAAUAAAACACUUACAGCUAAGCCUGUAGAAAGUCGUCUGUGAGGGCUCUCGGACAGGGGUUCAACUCCCCUCGCCUCCACCA
rnacentral:tmRNA from 1 species